rnacentral:rRNA from 1 species
CCUACGGGUGGCAGCAGUAGGGAAUAUUGCUCAAUGGGGGAAACCCUGAAGCAGCAACGCCGCGUGGAGGAUGAAGGUUUUCGGAUUGUAAACUUCUCUUGUUAGGGAAGAUAAUGACGGUAUCUAACGAAUAAGCACCGGCUAACUCCGUGCCAGCAGCCGCGGUAAUACGGAGGGGGCAAGCGUUACCCGGAAUCACUGGGCGUAAAGGGCGCGUAGGCGGGAUAGUAAGUCAGAUGUGAAAGCCUAUGGCUUAACCAUAGAACUGCAUUUGAAACUGGUAUUCUAGAGUAUGGGAGAGGUAGGUGGAAUUCUUGGUGUAGGGGUAAAAUCCGUAGAGAUCAAGAGGAAUACUCAUUGCGAAGGCGACCUGCUAGAAUAUAACUGACGCUGAUGCGCGAAAGCGUGGGGAGCAAACAGGAUUAGAUACCCUUGUAGUC